GAUGAACGCUGGCGGCGUGCCUAAUACAUGCAAGUCGAGCGAACAGACGAGGAGCUUGCUCCUCUGACGUUAGCGGCGGACGGGUGAGUAACACGUGGAUAACCUACCUAUAAGACUGGGAUAACUUCGGGAAACCGGCGCUAAUACCGGAUAAUAUAUUGAACCGCAUGGUUCAAUAGUGAAAGACGGUUUUGCUGUCACUUAUCGAUGGAUCCGCGCCGCAUUAGCUAGUUGUUAAGGUAACGGCUUACCAAGGCAACGAUGCGUAGCCGACCUGAGAGGGUGAUAGGCCACACUGGAACUGAGACACGGUCCAGACCACUACGGGAGGCAGCAGUAGGGAAUCUUCCGCAGUGGGCGAAAGCAUGACGGAGCAACGCCGCGUGAGUGAUGAAGGUCUUCGGAUCGUAAAACUCUGUUAUUAGGGAAGAACAAAUGUGUAAGUAACUAUGCACGUCUUGACGGUACCUAAUCAGAAAGCCACGGCUAACUACGUG
rnacentral:rRNA from 1 species